rnacentral:rRNA from 1 species
GAAUGCUAGUCGAGCGCCUUCUAGCCAAAAGGAGGCGCGGCGCUCAGCUNAGUAGNACGUGGCUAACCUGCCCUUGGGAUAGGAACAACCCCGGGAAACUGGGGCUAAUUCCCAAUAGGUGAAGAACUCUGGAAUGAGUCUUCGCCAGAAAGGACUCCUACACUAUGCUUGUAGGUUUCGCCCAAGGAUGGGGCCGCGACCGAUCAGGUUGUUGGUGAGGUAAUGGCUCACCAAGCCUUUUACCGGUGCGGGCCGUGGGAGCGGAAGCCCGGAGAUGGGCACUGAGACAAGGGCCCAGGCCCUACGGGGCGCAGCAGUCGCGAAAACUUUGCAAUAAGCGCAAGCUUGACAGGGCUAUCCCGAGUGCCAUCCGCUGAGGAAGGCUUUUACCCAGUCUAGAACGCUGGGGGAAUAAGGAGAGGGCAAGUCUGGUGUCAGCCGCCGCGGUAAUACCAGCUCUCCGAGUGGUGUGGAUGUUUAUUGGGCCUAAAGCAUCCGUAGCUGGCUAGGUUAGUCCCCUGUUAAAUCCACCGAAUUAAUCGUUGGAUUGCGGGGGAUACUGCUUGGCUAGGGGACGAGAGAGGCAGACGGUAUUUUCGGGGUAGGGGUGAAAUCCUAUAAUCCCGGGAAGACCACCAGUGGCGAAGGCUGUCUGCUAGAACGCGCCCGACGGUGAGGGAUGAAAGCUGGGGGAGCGAACCGGAUUAGAUACCCGGGUAGUCCCAGCUGUAAACGAUGCA